CGACUUCCUGGAUUCCUAUGAUGCCGGAGCAAAGUUAAAUGACUCAGAGGUGGAAGACUAUGAUCAGGGGGAAGAUUCCUACUACGACACGUCUAAACCUAAAAGCUGGUCAGCCGUCGGAAAAAGAUCUUUUCUGGUCAAUCUGUUUGACAAACUAACAGAUUAUUACAGCUUUAUGGAUCUAUCCAAACAGCAGAAUGUCAGUCAUCAAUUUGAUGACAUGUUGCGACAAUGUUCUUUCGCCACCAGGAGAUGUAUCAAAAAUUUUACCAAAAUCACAUAUUCAGAUCAUGGAAAUUGUUACACUAUACAGAACAAAAGCUACGUGUCAUAUACUAGCGGACCACAAGGAGGUCUACAACUGAUACUUUACUUGGAGACGGAUGAAUACCUGCCGUUGCUGACAAGUGGAAAAGGUGCACAAAUUGUUAUACAUAAGCAGAAAACAAUUCCACUACCUGAUGACGGGAUCUCAGUAUCAGUGGGGCAACAAACAAUGAUCGGUAUCCAACAGACUAGAAUCUCUCGUCUAGGAGAACCAUACUCAAAGUGUAGAAAUGUCGAGGAAUUUUUCAAAAAAGUAUAAAGCAGUCUAUACAAGAAAGCUCUGUAAAAAGAUGUGUCUAUUAGAAAGGAUCUCCAAGGAAUGCAAGUGCGAAUAUCGACAUUAUCAACCUAUAACUGAGCUAUUUAAUUUUACUAGCAGCAAUGUGUGUAACAGUAGUCAAGAUGCAGAGUGUGUUGCUAGGAUACGUAUGUCAUUCAGGGCAGACGAUGACAACUGUGGAUGUUAUGACCCAUGCGAGGAAACUGUUUUUGAAACUCAAAUAUCUUCCAGGUCUUGGCCAAACAAAGACAUUGCUGAUGUUCUAAUGGCUGGUGUCUGCAGUGAGAAACCCGCAGUCUGUUCAAAAACUUACAAUGAGAUUCG
rnacentral:sRNA from 1 species